ACUCAAAUGAAUUGACGGGGGCCCGCACAAGCGGUGGAGCAUGUGGUUUAAUUCGACGCAACGCGAAGAACCUUACCUGGGUUUGACAUGCAUAGGACCGGCAAUGAAAGUUGUCCUCUCUUCGGAGCCUAUGCACAGGUGCUGCAUGGCUGUCGUCAGCUCGUGUCGUGAGAUGUUGGGUUAAGUCCCGCAACGAGCGCAACCCUUGCCCUCUGUUGCUACCAGGUUAUGCUGGGCACUCUGAGGGGACUGCCCCGGUGAACGGGGAGGAAGGUGGGGAUGACGUCAAGUCCUCAUGGCCUUUAUGUCCAGGGCUACACACGUGCUACAAUGGCCAGGACAAUGAGUUGCUACUUCGCAAGGAGAUGCCAAUCUCAAAAACCUGGUCUAAGUUCGGAUGGUCGGCUGCAACUCGCCGGCCUGAAGUUGGAAUCGCUAGUAAUCGGAGAUCAGCACGCUCCGGUGAAUACGUUCCCGGGCCUUGUACACACCGCCCGU
rnacentral:rRNA from 1 species